AUGGUCAACGGGUUCGCCAAGCUCGGCUGCUUCGACCGCGCCAUGGAGUGCUUCCUGCGGAUGAGGCAGGAUGGCACGGUGGAGGUCAGCGCUUUCACCGUCACCGGAAUCCUGUCGGUCUGCACCGCGGCCGCGGAUUUUCAGUGCGGGGCUGCUGUUCACGGGAUGGUGGUGAAGUCGGGACUUGACCACAAUGUUUCGGUGUGUAACGCCUUGGUGGAUCUUUAUGGGAAGUCCCAUGAUGUGGCCAAUGCGGCAAUGGUGUUUGAGGGGAUGGCAGAGCAGGACAGGGACUUGUUCAGCUGGAACUCGAUGCUGUCGGCUUUGCACUACUCGGCUGACCAUAUGGGGACAAUGAGGCUCUUUCAUAGGAUGAGGCAUGCUGCAGUAUGGCCGGACACAGUGACCGUUGCGGCUGUUCUCCCUGCAUGUGCGCAGACUGCAGCACUGAAGGUUGGGAGGACGGUGCAUGGGUACAUUAUCACGAUCGGACUGGCUCGCGAUGGUGCAAUGGGCGUGCGCGCUUGUAAUGCACUGGUAGACAUGUAUGCCAAGAGCGGGGCACUGGAUGAGGCAUGCCGUGUAUUUUACUGGAUGCGCCAACAGGACGUGGCAUCAUGGAAUAUUAUGAUCGACGGGUAUGCAUCCCAUGGGCGUGGGCAGGAGGCACUGGAGUUGUUCCGCCAGAUGACAGAGGUGAAAGGUCUGGUGCCAGAUGAGGUAACUCUGCUGGCAGCAAUGUCGGCGUGCAGCCAUUCUGGGUUUGUCGAAGAAGGGAGAAUUCUUCUUAAGAGAAUGAAAGAGGAGUUCAGUUUGGAGCCGCAGAUGGAGCACUACGCAUGUCUGACUGACAUGCUUGGGCGAGCAGGGAGGCUGGAUGAGGCGAGAAAGGUUGUAGAGGAGGCAGGGGAUGUAGGAGCUGGUGCGUGGAGGACAUACCUUGCAGCAUGCCGGAUGCAUGGUGAUAAAGAAAGGGCCCAAGAGGCAGCUAGGAUGCUGAUGGCGACGAAGGAGCCUGGGAGUGGUGGAUGGGUGCUGCUAGCGAACACAUAUGGCUGGGAUGGAAACUUUGAGGGCCUGGAGGAGGUAAGGGGGGAGAUGAGACGGCAAGGAGUGCAGAAGGCUGCGGGCUGCAGCUGGGUUUAG
rnacentral:rRNA from 1 species